rnacentral:rRNA from 1 species
GACGAACGCUGGCGGCGUGCUUAACACAUGCAAGUCGAACGGUAAGGCCCUUCGGGGUACACGAGUGGCGAACGGGUGAGUAACACGUGGGUGAUCUGCCCUGCACUUCGGGAUAAGCCUGGGAAACUGGGUCUAAUACCGGAUAGGACCACUGCCUGCAUGGGUGGUGGUGGAAAGCUUUUGCGGUGUGGGAUGGGCCCGCGGCCUAUCAGCUUGUUGGUGGGGUGAUGGCCUACCAAGGCGACGACGGGUAGCCGGCCUGAGAGGGUGACCGGCCACACUGGGACUGAGAGACGGCCCAGACUCCUACGGGAGGCAGCAGUGGGGAAUAUUGCACAAUGGGCGCAAGCCUGAUGCAGCGACGCCGCGUGAGGGAUGACGGCCUUCGGGUUGUAAACCUCUUUCAGCAUCGACGAAGCGAAAGUGACGGUAGGUGCAGAAGAAGGACCGGCCAACUACGUGCCAGCCGCCGCUGUAA